CUACGGGAGGCUCCAGUGAGGAAUAUUGCACAAUGGGGGGAACCCUGAUGCAGCAACGCCGCGUGGAGGAUGACGCAUUUCGGUGUGUAAACUCCUUAUAUAUGUCAAGAAAAUGACGGUAGCAUAUGAAUAAGCACCGGCUAACUCCGUGCCAGCAGCCGCGGUAAUACGGAGGGUGCAAGCGUUACUCGGAAUCACUGGGCGUAAAGGACGCGUAGGCGGGUUGGAAAGUCAGGUGUGAAAUCCUACAGCUUAACUGUAGAACUGCACUUGAAACUUCUAAUCUAGAGUAUGUGAGGGGGAGAUGGAAUUAGUGGUGUAGGGGUAAAAUCCGUAGAUAUCACUAGGAAUACCUAAAGCGAAGGCGAUCUCCUGGAACAUUACUGACGCUAAGGCGUGAAAGCGUGGGGAGCAAACAGGAUUAGAUACCCGGGUAGUC
rnacentral:rRNA from 1 species